rnacentral:rRNA from 1 species
UGCGAGUCGAGCGGUAGCAUUUCUAGCUUGCUAGAAGAUGACGAGCGGCGGACGGGUGAGUAAUGCUUGGGAAUAUGCCUUAUGGUGGGGGACAACAGUUGGAAACGACUGCUAAUACCGCAUAACGUCUACGGACCAAAGGGGGGGAUCUUCGGACCUCCCGCCAUUUGAUUAGCCCAAGUGAGAUUAGCUAGUUGGUGAGGUAAUGGCUCACCAAGGCGACGAUCUCUAGCUGGUUUGAGAGGAUGAUCAGCCACACUGGGACUGAGACACGGCCCAGACUCCUACGGGAGGCAGCAGUGGGGAAUAUUGCACAAUGGGCGAAAGCCUGAUGCAGCCAUGCCGCGUGUGUGAAGAAGGCCUUCGGGUUGUAAAGCACUUUCAGUUGUGAGGAAAGGUGGGUAGUUAAUAGCUGCUCACUGUGACGUUAGCAACAGAAGAAGCACCGGCUAACUUCGUGCCAGCAGCCGCGGUAAUACGAGGGGUGCAAGCGUUAAUCGGAAUUACUGGGCGUAAAGCGUUCGUAGGCGGUCUAUUAAGCAAGAUGUGAAAGCCCAGGGCUCAUCCUUGGUACUGCAUUUUGAACUGGUAGACUAGAGUACUGUAGAGGGUGUUGGUAUUUCCAGUGUAGCGGUGAUAUGCGUAGAGAUUGGAAGGAACAUCAGUGGCGAAAAGCGGCCACCUGGUACAGAUACUGACUGCUGA